rnacentral:tRNA from 1 species
AGUUAGUUUAAUAAAAAAUGUUUGACUGUUAAUCAAGAGACAUAUCUUCUAGAGAA